rnacentral:rRNA from 1 species
UUGGCUCAGGAUGAACGCUGGCGGCGUGCCUAACACAUGCAAGUCGAACGGUGUAAUGAUUGAAGUUUUCGGACAGAUUUCAUUACAUAGUGGCGGACGGGUGAGUAACGCGUGGAGAACCUGCACUGUACUGGGGGAUAGCAGCUGGAAACGGCUGGUAAUACCGCAUGAGACCACGGAAGGGCAUCCUUCUGAGGCAAAAGAUUUAUCGGUACAGGAUGGAUCCGCGUUUGAUUAGCCAGUUGGCGGGGUAACGGCCCACCAAAGCGACGAUCAAUAGCCGGCCUGAGAGGGCGGACGGCCACAUUGGGACUGAGACACGGCCCAGACUCCUACGGGAGGCAGCAGUGGGGAAUA